rnacentral:rRNA from 1 species
UACAGAGGGGGCAAGCGUUGUUCGGAAUUACUGGGCGUAAAGGGCGCGUAGGCGGCCUGCUAAGUCGAACGUGAAAUCCCUGGGCUCAACCCAGGAACUGCGUCCGAUACUGGCAGGCUUGAAUCCGGGAGAGGGAUGCGGAAUUCCAGGUGUAGCGGUGAAAUGCGUAGAUAUUGGGAGGAACACCAGUGGCGAAGGCGGCUUACUGGACCGGAACUGACGCUGAGGCGCGAAAGCGUGGGGAGCAAACAGG